GCUUGUCUCAAAGAUUAAGCCAUGCAUGUCUGAGUAUAAGCAAUUGUACCGCGAAACUGCGAAUGGCUCAUUAUAUAAGUUAUCGUUUAUUUGAUAGCGCCCUACUACUUGGAUAACCGUGGUAAUUCUAGAGCUAAUACAUGCUAAAAAUCCCGACUCCGGAAGGGAUGUAUUUAUUAGAUUAAAAGCCAACGCCCCCUCACGGGGGCUCCGUGGUGAUUCAUGAUAACUGUUCGAAUCGCACGGCCCUGCGCCGGCGAUGGUUCAUUCAAAUAUCUUCCCUAUCAACUUUCGAUGUUUGGAUAGGGGCCAAACAUGGUGGCAACGGGUAACGGAGGGUUAGGGCUCGACCCCGGAGAAGGAGCCUGAGAGACGGCUACUACAUCCAAGGAAGGCAGCAGGCGCGCAAAUUACCCAAUCCCGACACGGGGAGGUAGUGACAAUAAAUACCGAUACAGGGCUCUUUUGGGUCUUGUAAUUGGAAUGAGUACAACUUAAAUCCCUUAACGAGGAACAAUUGGAGGGCAAGUCUGGUGCCAGCAGCCGCGGUAAUUCCAGCUCCAAUAGCGUAUAUUAAAGUUGUUGUGGUUAAAAAGCUCGUAGUUGAACCUUGGGCCUGGCUGGCCGGUCCGCCUCACCGCGUGUCACUGGUCCGGCCGGGCCUUUCCCUCUGUGGAACCCCAUGCACUUCACUGGGCGUGGCGGGGAAACAGGACGUUUACUUUGAAAAAAUUAGAGUGCUCCAGGCAGGCCUAUGCUCGGAUACAUUAGCAUGGAAUAAUGAAAUAGGACGCGCGGUUCUAUUUUGUUGGUUUCUAGGACCGCCGUAAUGAUUAAUAGGGACAGUCGGGGGCAUCAGUAUUCAGUUGUCAGAGGUGAAAUUCUUGGAUCUACUGAAGACUAACUACUGCGAAAGCAUUUGCCAAGGAUGUUUUCAUUAAUCAGGAACGAAAGUUAGGGGAUCGAAGACGAUCAGAUACCGUCGUAGUCUUAACCAUAAACUAUGCCGACUAGGGAUCGGACGAUGUUAUUCAUUGACUCGUUCGGCACCUUACGAGAAAUCAAAGUGCUUGGGCUCCAGGGGGAG
rnacentral:rRNA from 1 species